GAUGAACGCUGGCGGCGUGCCUAAUACAUGCAAGUCGAGCGAACGGACGAGAAGCUUGCUUCUCUGAUGUUAGCGGCGGACGGGUGAGUAACACGUGGAUAACCUACCUAUAAGACUGGGAUAACUUCGGGAAACCGGAGCUAAUACCGGAUAAUAUUUUGAACCGCAUGGUUCAAAAGUGAAAGACGGUCUUGCUGUCACUUAUAGAUGGAUCCGCGCUGCAUUAGCUAGUUGGUAAGGUAACGGCUUACCAAGGCAACGAUGCAUAGACGACCUGAGAGGGUGAUAGGCCACACUGGAACUGAGACACGGUCCAGACUCCUAAGGGAGGCAGCAGUAGGGAAUGUUCCGCAAUGGGCGAAAGCCUGACGGAGCAACGCCGCGUGAGUGAUGAAGGUCUUCGGAUCGUAAAAAUCUGUUAUUAGGGAAGAACAUAUGUGUAAGUAACUGUGCACAUCUUGACGGUACCUAAUCAGAAAGCCACGGCUAACUACGUG
rnacentral:rRNA from 1 species